rnacentral:rRNA from 1 species
GACGAACGCUGGCGGCGUGCCUAAUACAUGCAAGUCGAGCGAAGUUUUUCUGGUGCUUGCACUAGAAAAACUUAGCGGCGAACGGGUGAGUAACACGUAAAGAACCUGCCUCAUAGACUGGGACAACUAUUGGAAACGAUAGCUAAUACCGGAUAACAGUAUUUCUCGCAUGAGAGAUAUUUAAAAGUUGGUUAUGCUAACACUAUGAGAUGGCUUUGCGGUGCAUUAGCUAGUUGGUGGGGUAAAGGCCUACCAAGGCGAUGAUGCAUAGCCGACCUGAGAGGGUGAUCGGCCACACUGGGACUGAGACACGGCCCAGACUCCUACGGGAGGCAGCAGUAGGGAAUCUUCCGCAAUGGGCGAAAGCCUGACGGAGCAACGCCGCGUGAGUGAAGAAGGAUUUCGGUUCGUAAAGCUCUGUUGUUAGGGAAGAAUGGAUAUGUAGUAACUAUACAUAUAAGAGACGGUACCUAACCAGAAAGCCACGGCUAACUACGUGCCAGCAGCCGCGGUAAUACGUAGGUGGCAAGCGUUGUCCGGAAUUAUUGGGCGUAAAGCGCGCGCAGGUGGUUUAAUAAGUCUGAUGUGAAAGCCCACGGCUCAACCGUGGAGGGUCAUUGGAAACUGUUAAACUUGAGUGCAGGAGAGAAAAGUGGAAUUCCUAGUGUAGCGGUGAAAUGCGUAGAGAUUAGGAGGAACACCAGUGGCGAAGGCGGCUUUUUGGCCUGUAACUGACACUGAGGCGCGAAAGCGUGGGGAGCAAACAGG